AGACGAACGCUGGCGGCGUGCUUCAUACAUGCAAGUCGAACGAGAAACUGACUUCGGUCAGUGGAAAGUGGCGGACGGGUGAGUAAAAUGUAGAGAAUCUGCCCUAGAGAGUGGGACAACAGAGGGAAACUUCUGCUAAUACCGCAUAUGCGCGUAGCUGAAAUGCUAUUCGUGAAAACUCCGGUGCUCUGGGAUGAGUCUGCAUCUGAUUAGCUAGUUGGCGGUGUAAUGGACCACCAAGGCGACGAUCAGUAGCUGGUUUGAGAGGAUGAUCAGCCACAAUGGGACUGAGACACGGCCCAUACUCCUACGGGAGGCAGCAGUAGGGAAUUUUGCGCAAUGGGGGAAACCCUGACGCAAGCAACGCCGCGUGAUUGAAGAAGCCCUUCGGGGUGUAAAGAUCUGUCAGUGGGGACGAAACUUGACGGUACCCACAGAGGAAGCAUCGGCUAACUCCGUGCCAGCCGCUGC
rnacentral:rRNA from 1 species